GGGCGUGAACUUUGGGGGAAAAAGUAUAACUUGGUGUAACCGAAUAAUGAAAGGGGAGCGCGAAGCUCAAAUCGUAUCGGUGUUCGUAUCGUGACUCUGGCUGGAUUCCCCUGCUCCCGGGACCCCCCCCUGCUACACGUGGCGCCCGAACGGCAGGGACCCGGGCAACAAUGGUGAGAAGAGGAUGCUGAAUGAGCCAAUGAUUUCUGCACAACACCCAGGCUUCUUCAGGAUAACAGUCAAGUGCCCAAGGACAGCAGAGCCACCUCUGGGGACUGACUGGGGAAAACAUCAGUGAAUGGUAAGGAGAUUAGAAGAUACUCUUUUUUUGCCUCUUUUUCAGCAGACUGGUUGGCCCUGUCUCUCACACUCUGCCUGUCUUUAGCAGAUGGAGCAUAUUUAUUAUUGCACUGGAGCUUUCCUGUAUUUAGCAAGAUGGUUAUGCCCACAGAAAGAGUGCUUUGUCAACUAGGACACAAAAGAGCAUCUGAGAAGUUUUACUCUACACCCUUGGUUUCAGAAACCUCUACCCAAGCUACAGAAACCAAAUCAAAGCAGUGAAUUGCAAAACUUUCCUCUUCAGACACAUGAGCAGACCCACUUUUCAUCACAUCACUUUUCCUGCUUCCAAAAGCAGGAUACUGCUUCAUCUGCAUUACACCAUCAUCUCCCCCAGAUGCUGAAGGAGAGAAAGGACACAACUUUUGGGCAAUGUUGUUCAAUCAGUUUCAGCCACUAGAAGGGUCAUACCCACACUGGAGCAUUCCCUGCUCCUUCCACCUCCUUAACUGUGGAAAUACCCAAGAACAAGGUCAUGAUUUCUGACGUGAGGGAGUGUGCCUGCAAGAGACCACCUACUCAACAAGCAGCAAAGACCAGAUCAGGAAAGUGAGUUUCCACCCUGUAUUUCAAGAGGGGACAGGUAAAGGGAUCUGCCCAUUGAUGCAGAUCCCAAGGAGAAGCUCUUUUCCCUCCCACAGCAAGGUCCCAGCCCCUCAGUUCAUUCCAAAGGGCUGCAGUUCAUUCUGCUGGAUCAGAUGUGGACUUGCAGAGCUCCCACCCAGCUUUCCAAAAUGUAUCUGCUGGCCUUUAAGAACAAGUCCAAGGUUUUCUGAAUACCAAUAAGCCACAAGGUUCUCCAGGGGCUGUUCUGUCUUCUGCCUUGCUCAGAUGAUGAGAAACACUAUCUGCUUCCCCCAGUUCUUAGGUUUUCCACAAAGGAGGGAGGCUUUUUGGUCCUGUAGGCAGGAGUGCCUGGGAUCCGUGCCCCUCUGAUGCUACUGAUGUAAGGCAAAAGCGGAGGCUCCCGCACCACCAGCGCAGUGCCCUUGGGAGUGUAGGCUCGGAGCAGCAAUUCCUCUUCCGCGUGAGCCGUCACUGCCACCCAGCCUGCAGAGCCAAAGAGAAUACGGACAGUGAGGAAGACAAGUCCCUAGGAUCAAAGUAAGGCUCUGACACAAACUACUGCCUCCCACAGUGCCUAAAACCCUGGGCUACCCACGUGUGGUUGCUUGAGAAACCAAGCUCAAAGGUCAUAUCCAGCCCUUUCCCAACAGAAGGCAGCACCUAAAGCCACAUGUUACUCUUCCCAAACACAGCUCUUUCCUGGUAAGCUUAAGAGGGAUGGUGGGAACUACCAAGAACACAAGAAUGAAGCUUUCCAGUCAAUGGCCCUUUCCCUCUCACCUGGACAGCUGACAGUGUCACAGCCAUUCCUGAUGCUAUAGAACCUGUAUGGCAGCCAGAGCAUAAACUAUUCCAAUGCUGCCAUCCUGUACAAGCAUGGCUGUCAAUCCCCAUUCCUGGAGGUUGCCAAGCUUCAGCUGGACAAAGUCAUGGCUGCUAUGAUUUUGUGUGGUUGAAAGUCCUGCUCUGAGCAGGAAAUACAGCUUCACCCCUUCAGAGGCUUCUUCCCAUCAACAUUUCUAGGAUGCAGACCCUGCAAAGCAAACUAAUGAAGAAAUAUUAAAUUACCUGCAGAGGAAAGCUUGAUAUCUGCAACUGCCUCAGUGGUAUCAAUUCCCUUCAGUGUAAUGUCCUGCGGGACAAGUGGGGGGAACUCUUUCAUUCUCUCUUCCCCACCCAUGGGAACCUAAGAUUAAAACACAGCGAAAAGAUUUAACAGUCAAAAGAUGCUUCAGCACCCCUACCUCAAACCAGCAAGCAAGGCACAAGGGGGAAUAAAGACAUCAGACAUUUGUUAGCCAAUUAAGAGCUGGUUUGAAUAACCUACAGGAGUUAUUUCAAGUUUGCCAGAACAGAGUCAGAAUUACAUCAGAGGAACCCUGGGGGAGGUGAGCAAAGAUGGAGUGCCCACUGCAGGAUGCAGCUGGUGGAUCAGGCCAGCUGCCUUGAUGUGAGUGACAGCACUUGUUCUCCGUGUGCACAGGAAUGGAAGUGUCAGGACAGGGACAGCUCACCCCCCUCUCCCAUCAAUCUGCAAGUGCUACACAGAACACUGCCAUACCAAGGAAAAAAUCAGACCACCAAGAGAUGAAGGUAUGUGCAGAAGAUCCAUCAGGCAAAGAAUAAAAAAGGCACAUUUUUCACCUGCUA